UGGGGAAUAUUGCACAAUGGGCGCAAGCCUGAUGCAGCAACGCCGCGUGAACGAUGAAGGUCUUCGGAUCGUAAAGUUCUGUUGCAGGGGAAGAUAAUGACGGUACCCUGUGAGGAAGCCCUGGCUAAAUACGUGCCAGCAGCCGCGGUAAUACGUAUGGGGCGAGCGUUGUCCGGAAUUAUUGGGCGUAAAGGGUACGUAGGUGGUUUUUUAAGUCAGGUGUCAAAGCGUGGAGCUUAACUCCAUUAAGCACUUGAAACUGAAAGACUUGAGUGAAGGAGAGGAAAGUGGAAUUCCUAGUGUAGCGGUGAAAUGCGUAGAUAUUAGGAGGAAUACCGGUGGCGAAGGCGACUUUCUGGACUUUUACUGACGCUCAGGUACGAAAGCGUGGGGAGCAAACAGG
rnacentral:rRNA from 1 species